AAUAAUAUUUCUAAAAUUAACCUACGAGUUUUAUAAUUUUCCUGUAAGUAUUUUAUAUAUUAAGUUCUUAAGCCAUGAUAAUUACUUGUAACUAUUAACUUAGUUACUAAAAUAUAUAACUUUUCCAGCUUCGUCUAAGUCCCAGAAUUCGACAAAUGAUAACAUGCAACGAAUUGUACGUCACAAAAUAUUUUUUUCUCGAUAUCAUACAGUUUGACUAUUGCGUCUCGUGACAUUAUGUAGACGACGAAUACGAAAAUACACGAAAAAAAUUCACUAUUUACUAGAAAAAUUGUUUAUUAAUAUUAUUACAUAUAAUUACCUAUAAGUAUAUUAUGUAGUUAUAAGGAGAAGGAAAAUAAUGAAAUUUAAGUCGAAAACAGAAUAGAUAUUUGGAAAUAAUGUUUUCUAGAAGGACUGAUGGGUGUUAUCUUGUCAUUACGAAAUAUUAUUAUAUAGGCACAAAAAUGUAUGUUUCGUUUUAUUUUACCACUACAGAAUAGUAUACUUACUACGCUUCAGACAUGUUAUCGAAAAUACCUAUUAUACCCGUCAGAAUAUACCAAUUUUUUUCUCUCACCCGUCUGUUUGAUUUCCUUAGAAUCUAUUGAAAUUAUGCAAACAUCGCAUAAUAUAAUAUUUAAUUUUAUAGUUUACGGAAAAAUGACAGCACGUAACUAUUAUAUAUUAUUACAAUCCGCGAUCUUGCAUUGAGAUUUUUUUAUUGUUUGUCAACGAUAUUUGUAAAUUUGUCGUGAAAAUAUGUAUAAGAUAAAUUGCGUAUAAACUUUAUUGUAAAAA